rnacentral:rRNA from 1 species
UGGUUGAUCCUGCCAGUAGUCAUAUGCUUGUCUCAAAGAUUAAGGCAUGCAUGUCUAAGUAUAAGCCAAAUUAUACGGUGAGACUGCGAAUGGCUCAUUAAAUCAGUUAUAGUUUAUUUGAUGGUAACUUUCUACAUGGAUAACCGUAGGAAUUCUAGAGCUAAUACAUGCGCAAAAUCCUGACUGUUUCGGCGGAAAGGAUGUAUUUAUUAGAUAAAAAACCAGCACGCAUUGUUUCGGCGGUGCGAAAUAUGGUGAUUCAUAAUAACUUCUCUAAUCGUAUGGUUUUAAACCGACGAUGCAUCAUUCAAAUUUCUGCCCUAUCAACUUUGGAUGGUAGGAUAGAGGCCUACCAUGGUGGUAACGGGUAACGGGGAAUUAGGGUUUGAUUCCGGAGAGGGAGCCUGAGAAAUGGCUACCACAUCCAAGGAAGGCAGCAGCCGCGAAAAUUCCACCCUUGCAAUUCGCAGAUGGAGUGACAAGAAAUAACAAUCUGGGGUCCUAUGGGCUUCAGAAUUGGAAUGAGAACAACGUAAAUAGUUUAAUGAGAACCAAUUGGAGGGCAAGUUUGGUGCCAGUAGCCGUGGUAAUUUUAGCUCCAAUAGCGUAUACUAAAGUUGCUGCGGUUAAAAAGCUCGUAGUUGAACCUCAGGGGUGUACAUUUGGUUUACCUGCACUGCAGGCCAAACUGAGUGUAUGCUUCUUCUAACGGAGUGGGCAUUCUGCACUUAACUGGGUGGGGUGUUUGUUUCGAAAGUUUACUUUGAGAAAAUUAGAGUGUUCAAAGCAGGCGAAAGCCAUGAAUAUAUUAGCAUGGAAUAAUGGAAUAGGACUUUGGUUCUAUUUUGUUGGUUUCUAGGACUGAAGUAAUGAUUAAUAGGGAUAGUUGGGGGCAUUAGUAUUUCAUAGUCAGAGGUGAAAUUCAUGGAUUUAUGAAAGACUAACUAUUGCGAAAGCAUUUGCCAAGGAUGUUUUCAUUAAUCAAGAACGAAAGUUUGGGGAUCGAAGACGAUCAGAUACCGUCGUAGUCCAAACCAUAAACUAUGCCGACUCGGGAUUGGAGGGCGUACAUUUAAUGACCCCUUCAGCACCGUAAGAGAAAUCAAAGUUUUUGGGUUCCGGGGGGAGUAUGGUCGCAAGGCUGAAACUUAAAGGAAUUGACGGAAGGGCACCACCAGGAGUGGAGCUUGCGGCUUAAUUCAACUCAACACGGGGAAACUUACCAGGUCCAGACACGGUAAGGAUUGACAGAUUGAGAGCUCUUUCUUGAUUCCGUGAGUGGUGGUGCAUGGCCGUUCUUAGUUGGUGGAGUGAUUUGUC